CCCCCCCCCCCCCCCCCCCCCCCCCCCCCCCCCCCCCCCCCCCCCCCCCCCCCCCCCCCCCCCCCCCCCC
rnacentral:misc_RNA from 3 species